UGUUGUUUAGGGUUAGAAUAUGAUAUAAUACAAUAAAUUUGAUUGAUUACAAGUGCUAGAGAUGCAUGAAGAGUGUUUAGAAGUGUGGAGAAAGACUUGUUGAAAUUGGAUCCCAAAUGGGCUAAGAACUUGGAAACAUUGCGUUGAACCACGAAAUGACUUAUCUAGUGCUUUUUCUGGUUAUAAUAUGUAAGGAUACAAUAAAUUUGAUUGAUUACAAAUGCUAGAGAUGCAUGAAGAGUGUUUAGAAGUGUGGAGAAAGACUUGUUGAAAUUGGGUCCCAAAUGGGCUAGGAACUCGGAAACAUUGCGUUAAACCACUAAAUGACUUAUCUAGUGUUGUUUGGGGAUAUAAUAUGAUAGAAUAGAAUAA
rnacentral:lncRNA from 1 species